CCUACGGGAGGCAGCAGCCAGGAAUCUUGGGCAAUGGGCGAAAGCCUGACCCAGCAACACCGUGUGGGCGAUGAAGGCCUUCGGGUCGUAAAGCCCUGUUGAUAGGGACGAAGGGCGAAGGGUUAAUAGCCCCUAGUCUGACGGUACCUUUCGAGGAAGCCCCGGCUAACUACGUGCCAGCAGCCGCGGUAAUACGUAGGGGGCGAGCGUUGUCCGGAAUUAUUGGGCGUAAAGAGCGUGUAGGCGGUUCGGUAAGUCUGCCGUGAAAACCUGAGGCUCAACCUCGGACGUGCGGUGGAUACUGCCGGGCUAGAGGACGGUAGAGGCGAGUGGAAUUCCCGGUGUAGCGGUGAAAUGCGCAGAUAUCGGGAGGAACACCAGUAGCGAAGGCGGCUCGCUGGGCCGUUCCUGACGCUGAGACGCGAAAGCUAGGGGAGCGAACAGGAUUAGAUACCCUGGUAGUCCUAGCCGUAAACGAUGGACACUAGGUGUGGGGGGAGUCGAAUCCCUCUGUGCCGCAGUUAACGCGUUAAGUGUCCCGCCUGGGGAGUACGGCCGCAAGGCUAAAACUCAAAAGAAUUGACGGGGGCCCGCACAAGCAGCGGAGCAUGUUCUUUAAUUCGAUGCAACGCGAAGAACCUUACCUGGACUUGACAUGGUGCUGCAAGCGCACGGAAACGUGUGACCUUCGAGGGUGCACCACAGAUGCUGCAUGGCUGUCGUCAGCUCGUGUCGUGAGAUGUUGGGUUAUGUCCCGCAACGAGCGCAACCCCUGUGGCGUGUUGCCAUCAUUAAGUUGGGGACUCACGCCAGACUGCCGGUGACAACCGGAGGAAGGUGGGGAUGACGUCAGUCUCCCGGCUCUCACUCCCCGCUAUAACCUGUUCAUGCUGAUAUCACGGUUGCACGACCGCUCGUGGAGCGAUUCUCAUUAGGUUACCUAAUUCGCAUCCUCUCCGCCUCCUCUUCCUUAACUGUGAUUUUUUCUAUUCUGGAUCUCCU
rnacentral:rRNA from 1 species